GUAGUACAAUUUCUUCACCACAAAAAAAGAAGAAAAAAAAAAGAGAGGAGAAAAUGGUUUUGGUGAUGGGUUACUUUAAAAAGCAGAAACGAUGCGUAGAGUAACCGCUAGCCAGAACCAACCGAGAGAUAGAAAAGAGUAGUCCAACCCUACACUCUUUUCCUUCCAAACAGAUCAACUGAUUGCUGCUAUAUAUCUAUUAAAAAAACCACAAUCCAAAACAAAAACAUAUUUGUUUAGAUCCAAAAAUGUGUUGCGGUGGUAGAAUUUGCAUGUUGUGCACAUGCGUUGUACUAAUUGUGGUUGCGAUCGAUUUCUUGUUUGGAUUUGGAGUAUUCAAGAAUGGUUUUCACAAAUUGAAGGACAGUAUUCAUGUUGUUGAUUGUCUUAAUGCUCUCUGUUCCUCCCCUACUGGUCGAAGGCCCUUUUUGGGUUUCCCCCCUGCUCCUUCACCAUCCUAUUAAUUACUACUCCAUCUCGUUUUGCGAUGUUUAAAAUAAGAUGGGGUUGUAUGGUUUUAGAAUUUCUGACCAUUGUUUGAUUUGUUCAUACUACUACUCCAUUAGUUAAAUGUUCAUCUUGCUUUUACUUUGAUGUUCAAAUUUGUUGGCUCAACUUUUUGUAUUUUUUUGUGUUAAGUACUAAGUACUUUAUACCUAAAUCCCUAUUUUAGUACUAAAAUUUAGGACUUCAUUUUCAUAUUAGACUAUUCAAAUUUAAAACUGGUUAUGCUCUGCAAAGGUCUGAAGUAGGGGUUCAUUUUUUUUCAUUUUAAUGUUUGCUUGAUUUAUUCAGACAACUUUUCUUGGUCUUGUGGAUCUCAAAUUGACUAAUUGAGGGUUGGAUUCUGUUUUAGUUUGCUUUCCAACUAUUGUGUACGUUUUUCUGUUGUUGGAAAAGCAACUGCUUCAUAAAAGAAGACUAGCCCCAUGAGCACCCCCAACAACUUUUGGUUAGAAGAGAAGAAUGUUUUAUACCUAUAAAAUACAACUUACACGUAUCUCGAUAUUUUAUAUUUGAUAAAUCGAAAGAAAUCACAUAAUACUUUUUUUUUUGUUUUCAUGAGAUUUGAACUAGAUCUUCAAGAUCUAAAGAUCUUCACUCACUUCUAGGUCAUAUCCUGAGGCGGAGCCGGAGAAAUAAAUAUGAGUUCGAAUGAAUCCAAUAAUUUUUGCUUAGACCUUGUAUUUGUAUUAAAAAUUCAUCAAAUAUAUAUAUAUAUAUAUUAAAUUGCUAACUCAGCAGCUAAACGAGUUAUGAUUCAAUAACAAUUUAAGAACUCAUAAAUAUUAAAUCCUAACUCUAGCCCUGCAUAUCCUUUGAAUGCUUGGAUAGAAGAAUGGUUUCUUGGCUAUAUCUUGUGGAAUAUACAUUUAACAAAAUGCAAAUCCUAGUGCUUGCUGGAUAAGUUACACAAUUUCAAUAAAUUCAAAAUGUCAGUCCAACUUAUGAAACAUCCAAAAUAGCGUACGCAAUGGACUAUCAAUCGGCUAAAAAGGUGCUUCAAUCAUUGAAUUUGUAAUAUACACGACCCACAGAAGGUUCAGUCCUACCACCAACAAAAUUAGCCAGAGAAGAUAGAAAAGAACCAACUAAUAAAGAAAAACUCUGAUAUACCUGCCUCGACAAUAUCUCAAUAUAUGUACAAUUUGGACGUCCACCCAUUUCAUUACUGGAUGUACAUUUGUGUGACCCCAUGAAGACAAAAGGAAAUAAUUUCUUAUGACCAAUUACAAUUUGAAUCGAAGAAAAUGAUCAAACAAAAAUUAUCAUAACGAUCUCCGGUGGAAAAACUAUAUACGAAAAAAUAUUUGUAAUGAGCUAUAAAACCAAUCUAUCAUAAGACAAAGGGAGGUAGAAUCAGGUGAAAACGGGCACUUUGCCUACACAAGUCUAUUUUGUCUCUCCCCACCUCUUGCAGAUCUCAUCUGUACAUCUGCGUCGUAAUGAGCAAAGGCAGCAUCAAGAACCUGCAUAAAAGCAUAUUUGUCAAUUAGUUCCAGCUAAUAAGCUUCAGUGCAAGAUAAUCAUGCAGUAUGAGACUGAAAUAAAUUAAAACUCCUACAGUAGACAGUUCCCUAGAACAAGAUUGAGGCAUCUUCCAUCAUAGAAUACAAGAUAGAAUAGAAAAACUUCGUGUUCAAUGACAUUAAUCAUUCCAAUAACCAAACGAGAAGCAGGAGAAAAACAAGGCAAAUUGGAGGCAAAAUGUCUCAAAAGAAAUGCUUAACACGGUUUGAGAGUUAAAAAUAAGAAGAGUACAUUUAUAGAUGAAAUUCUGUUACACUGAUCUCUUAACUAAAGCUGCCGUUAGUAUACUGAAGGCCAGAAGUUCACCUGAAGCAUUGGCUGUACAAGAAGGGAAACUUGAUGUUGGAUAUCAGAUUGCACAGAUUCCUUAAUCUUCUGAACAUCAAUAAGAAGAUAAAAAUUUAAUGCCAUAGGAAAUAAAUUCUCAAAUCAGAUAGACCAAUAACUAGCAAGAGAUUAACAUUAUCAAGUAAUUUUAUUUUCAAUAACAUUAUCGUAAAUUGCUCACGAACAGUCCACCUUGGCCGGUUUAGUCUUGAAUUUUAUUAUGUUCUCAUGUUUCCUAUGCCAUCCCCUACCAAAUAUGUUUAGUUUUGUAUUCCUAUAUGAAUCCUUUCCAAGACAUCAUACAUGGAGAAAAGCAAUCACAGAUAACAAAAAUAUGAACGGUGAAAAUGAUUUCAGAAACGCCACUACCUGCAGCUUUCCAUAUAUUUGGGACAUCACAUCCUUUAAUCUAGUUAACUGUCAAAUGAUAAGCAUUAGAAAAGGCCACGGAAAUGAAAUAAGUUCUAAAAUCAAUGGAACUUAUCUCGAUAGAAGGAAAACCCAAUGAAAUAAGUUCUAAAUAUAGUAAUAAUUCUGAGAGACCAAACUAUAGUUAACACAUAACACAUACACCUAACUUUGAACAAUUAGAAUAAACAAAGUUCUGUAACUAAAUCUUUCUUUUGGACCAUAACAACAUUAUUCUGUUAUAAGGUAACAGGAACUCCAAAUAACGUUGACAGUGAAGCAUCAAGAUCGAACAUUACCUUAGUUUAAAAAUAUUUACUUGUUAUUGGAUACAAUGACCAGAAAUGCUUCAACAUUUCCUGAAUUGAUGUCCAGUGCUACAAGCAAAAUGAAAACUAAUAGCGAAAGCACAGGGCAAAAUAUCAGUUCAAGAUAAACUAAAAUACAGUGGAAUUACUCACAAGUAGCAAUUCAUUUUUUGGUUGCACUAAGUAACUGAUCCAAAAGACGCUCACCGGGGUUCUUUCCCAGAUGAUACUUGGCGCACUGAGAACCUGCUAACAAAUUAUAUACAGUUAACUUCUCCAUGGCCAAUAUGAUAACAUUCCGUGGCAAUUUUAAAUUAAAAAGGUAAAAAUACCUUGAGAGCUACUUCUGAACUAAUUUUUGGUUCAGUUUAUUCUCGAGAAGAGAAGAAUUGAUCUCGGAAAUGGAUUCCUCUAAGGAGCUAAAAGGCUUCUUGUACGAUCACACUAGGUUUCAACUGUUUCAUCCCAACAACUGCAUCCCCCAAAGCCUUUAUUGCAUUUGCGCGUUGAGAAUCAAAGUAAGUAGUCUCGAGGAACCUGAUUCAGGACAAAAUCAUAUAUUAGAUAAUCAAUUGGAUCUACAGAGACAGAGUUCAACAAAAUAGACCUAAUGAAAGCCACACGUUGAUACUCAGGAAUGCAACUGGACGAUCACAAGGUGAAUGAAGAUCCUCAAUAUCAUGAGCCACUCGGAGAAUUUUAUCCAGGCGUUUUUUAUAUCCUUUUCAUCAGACACUUCGAUAGCUAGUUCAGCUGUUCCGCGCAGAAACCCAAACCAAAGUGGUGAGUUGUACAAACACUUUUUAUGGGCUCAGAUUGCAAGAGAUAAGUGAACAAUUUAACAGUAAAUGUGCUCUACCCUGUUUGCCCUGGUGAAUGCUUCAGCAACAGACCGUGAACCAUCCAGUUCAACAUCUUUGCAGAUUGGACAAACAACAAAUGUAAGAAGGAAAAGCAUCAAGUCAAAUUUGAAAUGAUUGUUACAAGUACAAAAUAAAUGAAUUUAGAACCACAAAACACCGGAGCCAGAAGCUUACGUACAACUCUUCCUCAAAGGACCAUGGCUGCAUGCUUGUAGAGGAGCUGCGAGGAUGAUCUCUUGUAUGGCUCAUACUGUGGAUCCAAAAUCUCCUAGUUUCACCAUGAGGUAGUCCAUGAUCCUAUUUUUCCAUGCCAUAAACCAUAAAAUGUUAGGUUGCAUUUAAGAGGAUAUAUCUAAAGCAUACAUGAAGACCGGUAGGUCUAGCUACUAAAAGAUGCUCCAAAAUGUAUGCAUGAUGUAAAUACUCACUGGCAACUUCUGCAAAGAAAAGAAAAAUGGGAAGGAGAAGGAGACAACAACUAUGCCUCAGUCCCAAACAAGUUGAGUUUGUCUAUAUGAAUCUACCAUGUUCCUCAUUUAAAAUUAUCAGGCAAAUGUAUUGUGAGGAUUCAUCAUGUAUUUCCUGGUUUAAUGUUGGCAUUCAACCUACCAAAACCCUCCUCCUCUAUCCGAGCUUGGGACCGGCAAUGUGAGAAGUCACACUAGCGGAGUUGGGAAGGAGAAGAGAUCGAGAAAUAUGGUAAACGCGUCUUCUCAGUUAAUGUUCUACCAAUUUAUUGAUGUUAACUCGCUUGUAUUAUAUCAAGGACACCUUGAUCACGAAUUUAUACGAAAAAACUUUUAUUUUUCUAUAGAAAACUACGCUAUUUCAUCGGACAUUUUAGGAAAGAAAACUAUGUUAUUUCAUUUGACGUAUGAGGAAAAAUAUGGGCAGCUAAUCUUCAACUGGACAAGAUCAUUCAUUACUAAGCCGUCAGCAAUUGCAGAGCAGAAAAUUUGACGAUGUACCUGGAGGUGUAUGUAAUCAUCGCCUUCAUCUGGUUCCAUGUCCAGAGUUGGAUCCACCCGUCUGAUCUGGAAGGAAGACCAAUCAUUCAAAGAAACAAUUUUCUCCUUCCAUUUCCUCUCAAGGGGAAAAAUAACAGAGAUACUCAGAUAGCAAGAGGGAGGGAGAGAGAGAGCAGUAAUAUACACCUCACUUCUCAAGUUUUGGAUGUCAAUUGUUAAAUAAUUAAAAUUGGUAAAAUCUGAUGUACAAACCUUCUUCCGAGCUUCAUAAGCUAACAGAUCAUCUUGCUUCAAGAACCUGCAACAAUGUUUUUCGUACUGUGGAGGUAUUCUGCUCUUAAAUAUUUGGUCCAAAAUUCCUUUUCUAUCAUCUGAUAAGAUUUGUGUCUUAUUAUUUUGAAAGACUGUAAGUUCAACCAUUUAAAAGUGCAAUAAGAUUUGAGUCUUGCUUUUUUUUUUUUUAACACUUGAUAAAGGCAGCCCGAUGCACUAAGCUCCCGCUAUGCGCGGGAUCCGGGAAAGGGCUAGACCACAAAGGUGUAUUAUACGCAGCCUUACCCUACAUUUCUGCAAGAAGCUGUUUCCACGGGUUGAACCCGUGACCUCCAGGUAAAGUUGUUGCCAUGUGACCAGGAGGUCAUGGGUUCAAGCCGUGGAAACAGCCUCUUGCAGAAAUGCAGGGUAGGACUGCGUACAAUAGACCCUUGUGGUCCGGCUCUUCCCCGGACCUCGCGCAUAGAGGGAGCUUAGUGCUCCGGGCUGCCCUUUAUCAAGUGGUAAAGGGGGAAAAAAAGAGAGAGAUGGAAGCCAGAAAAUGUGGUAAACUUAAGGUGGCACAACAGUUUUCCGCUUGCUUCCACAUCCGAUGGUAGUUAAAAAGGUUUCCAAAACUUCACCUAAGAUUAAGACUUGAUGAUGGCAAGCUAGCCCCAAGAUUUUGGAAUAAACUAAGCACAUAUAUCUCGCCCAACAUGCACUUGUGUAUGAAAAUAUUAAGAAGAUCAGAAUGAACCUUAUUGAUAGAGUUUAAAUCGCUUCUGCAAAUAAAAAGAUUCAAUCUCAUUUAUUUGCACAGUCUUUUACCUUGCUCGGCACGAAGUUCAAAUAUGCCAUUUAGGCCAGUUGGUUUCUCAGCAAAGAUCUAAAACUAAAUUUCCAACAUGAUUAGGCACCGAUUACAAAGCAAAGUUACAUCUAAGGUUGUUAAAAUACUUUUUUGUCAUAAUGAACUCGACAAAGCUCUAAUGCCAGUUGCUCUUAUUUAAAAUUCAACAAGUAGCAUCUGUUGUAGAUAUUAAAGAGCCGUGUGAAAGAUAUGAUAUCUGGAAACAGAAACUUCACUUAAAGAAUUAGGUAAAAUGAAACUUAAGGAUUGAGGGUACUCCUUUUUCAUGUAAUAACUUGUGUGUAUCAAAUUUGACAAGUGAAGCAGUGGUUCCUGACUGCACUGUAGAAGCCAAUAACUUCGAGCCUCUAGGAGUGAUUGGCCUUCCUGGAGCAUGUUCAAGUUUCACAACUUGGCUCCAUUUCUUCCAUAUCCAUAAGCUUAAGAUGUCGAGGAGUCUUGAAACACCUCUACUCUCUAUUGACAGGUGCAAAUUCACAACACAAUACCAUAAACUCAAGGUUUGCCUACUUUAUGCUCCAGCGUGGAACCAAGCACAUGCCAUUCCUGAACACUUUUAACCAAUUGCUCUAACAUUUUGUAAUUUCAAAACUCUUCCUAGUUUAACUGAGACAUCCAUUUGAAGCAAAAUCCACUCAUGUAUUUCUCAUUUCAUCUAGGCAGAUGAAGUUUCCAUACCUUAUGUCAUAUCAUUUAAGCUGAGUUUGAUUUCUUUAUAAUGUUCCAUUAAUUUAAACCAUUUCAUAGAACACAUAAGAUUACCUGGUGAAUAACCUCUGGUGCCAAGAUAAAUGUAACUCUGUUUGUCCGAAACACCAAUGGAGAAAAGCAGAUAGUUAAGCUUUCAUGUCCACAAAGUACAGGAUCACACAAGGCCCCUUGGGAGGGGGGGGGGGGAAGGAAGCAAAUCCAAUGACGACAUUUUUGCUGGCAAAAGAUCUCUCUCGAAAUUCAGUUUCAUUUCUAUCUACUUCUAUUCUGUUAUUGGAUCAAUAAUAGGGUUACAGAAGUACUAAAUACCUUCUGCAUUAGGAGAAUUUGAUCAGAUUUCAUAGAAAACGCUUUUGAUUAGACAUACGUUUGAGCUAAAAAAAAAUCAUACUGCAACCUAUUAGGCAGGUAUCAUUGCUGCAUCUGGUGACAGGCAUUGUAACCCCUAGCACAGGGAGAGAAGAGUUUCCUCUGACCUGAGCAUUAAAUAGAGGUUUUACACUCAACAUGUCAUUUUUUAAAGCCACCGUGCUGUUUAGGCUUCUUCCUAUCACUCUGAUCCAGCACUGUUCUGCAGUUCAUUUGCACGGUAAAAUACUGUAAUGCUUUUCACAAUGUAUUGAGGAAACAGCUGCCAGGUGUUCCAGAUAUAGCUCAAUACUUUCAUUAAGUCAAUAACAGCAUUUUAACAAAAAAGUAAUAAAACUAACAGUCUUUUUUAGACACUAACCUUCCUUGCAGCCCAAAAUUCAGCUUCUGAUAGAACACCUCCAAUGGCAAGUUGCUUAUGAAGUGUCUGCAAUACACUAUCACUUUAUAUAUUUUACCGACCAACUAACGAGAAGUAAAUGUCAUGAUCAGUUGCCAACUUAACCGGGAGGGGGCAGGACAAAAACUAACAGGCAGUUUCUUGUCAAAAUCAGGUAGCAUUAUGAAAAAGGUUCAGAAUUCAAUGACCUUCUGCAACACCGAACCAUGUAAAAAUGAACUACAUUUGCCUUUCUCAGCAGUAACUUAAUCCAGUGCUCCAUUUCUGCUGCACUGAGUUGUUCAACAGGUAGAACAGCAGCAUUUUCAGAAGCAGCUCUCCAGCUUUUCCAGAAGCUGCAAUGCACCAUAUACAAAAAGCUUGAGAUAUGUUAUCUUGUCUGAUCAGCAAAUCACUGAAGUACUAACCCAACCAGUUAAAAUAGCACGUUGGUUCGAAGGCACACUUAUAAUUUAAUAAUCGCCAAAUUUAAUUGAUUUUUAGCAGCUGGAACUAAAAAAUGUCACCGAACAUUCUAAGAGGCUGUAAUCUGAACCAGUAAUUUAUAAUCACCGAUGCGACAAAGAGAUAGUAAAUACGAAACUAAGACUAGAAAUUGUAAAUCUCUGAUGGAUGAAAAGCAAACCUUAAACUGCAAAAACUAAUGCCAAUUAUAUGCACUUGCAAUGGACAUUAUGGCUGACAGUUCCUACAAUUUCUUCUCAUGUGAAAUAGCCAAGUUCAAUGGCUUGUCCUUUUACUUUUUUAUUUUUUAUAACUAUGGUGCUGGGCCAACUUGCACGCACCUCGACUAUUCCACCGGGUACCUGCUACCUCCCACCAGCUCAGGUGACCACUAGGCCAUACCCUUGGGUGCCUCGGCACCUUGCUAGUUCUACAUUAACAUUUUUGUUAUUAGUGAUAUACCUACCAACCAGAUAGAUUAAACCCCAUAAAUGAAAUAAUUAUGUACUACAAGAGAAACCAACAACACCACUAACUGUAAUGAGUCUUGGAUAAAUCAAGCUUCCAUGUAUUAGAAGCACAAUAGUCCAAGUUUAGCCAAAUAGUGACAUGUGCAAUACAAGUCAAUGCAUAUCCCAAGGACCUACCUACGAAUUCUCAGCCUUUUCACGGUCAAAGAAGCUAUCAAACUCAAAUAUAUACAAAAGCUGGAAGGUAUGUUAUCUUGUCUGCUCAGCAAAUCACCUGAAGUACUAACCCAGCCGGUUAAAAUAGCAUGUUGGAACUUCGAAGGCACACUUAUCAUUUAAUAAUCACCGUAUUUUAUUGAUAUUUAGCAGCUGGAAUUAAAAAAUGUCAUUGAACCUUGUAAGAGGCUGUAAUCUGAAUCAGUAAUUUAUAGUCACUGAUGCGACAAAGAGAUAGUAAAUACGAAACUAAGACUUGAAUUGUAAAUCUGAUAGAUGAAAAGCAAACCUCAAACUGUAAAAACUAAUGCCAAUUAUAUGCACUUGCCAAAUUAUGGCUGAAAGUUCCUACAUUUUCCUCUUAUAUGAAACAGCCAAGUUCAGCACCUGCCAAUUUUUUAUAUAACUACUAUGGUGUUGGGCCAACUUGUGCACUCGAUUAUUCCACCCGGUACCUAUUACCUCCCACCAGCUCAGGUGACCACUAGGUCAUACCUUUGGGUGCCUUGGCACCGUGCUACUUCUACAUCAACAUUUUUGUAAUUAGUGGUAUACCUACCAACCACAUAGAUUAAACCCAUAAAUGAAAUUAUUAUAUACUAAAAGAGAAACCAACAAUACCCCUAAAUGUAAUGAGUCUUGAAUAAAUCAAGCUUCCAUCCAUUAGAAGCACAAUAGUCCAAGUUUAGCCGAAUCAUGACAUGUGUAAUACAAGUCAAUGCAUAUCCCAAGGACCUAUCUAUGGGUUCUCGGCAAUUUCACAGUCAAAGAAGCUACCAAACUCAAACAUAUACUCCCUCCGUUCCAGUUUAUGUGAACCUAUUUCCUUUUUGGUCCGUUGCAAAAAGAAUGACUCCUCUCUAAAUUUGAAAACAAUUUAGCUUAAACUUACAAUUCUACCCUUAAUGAGAAGCUUUUAUAACCACACAAAUACUAUGGGCCCCUUUUUGACUUGUUUAGGACCACAAAUUCCAAAAGUGUUCAUUUUUUCUUAAACUGCGUGCCCAGUCAAAUAGGUUCACGUAAAUUGGAACGGAUGGAGUAACUCUUUUCAGGGAAAAAAUACAAAGUGAAAUGCAUUAAGUUGCAGUUGUCUCAGCAGUCUGUAUGCUUCACAGGAAACACUGAAAUACUCCUGAUAGGAGCUGGUAAAUAGCAUUUCUUUGAAUUAAUCAUGAAUGCUAACCUGAUCCCGGUUAAGCUUAAGUAGGGCCUGCUUAGGGCUAAUAUGUUGGGCCUGAAAAGGAAAAAAAAUUGAGGAGCGGAAUAAUAAAAGGGAAAAAAAGAAUGAGAAUGAUUGAUAAAAGAACCAGCUUGAUGAAAUCAUCAAACCAAAAAAUCAACUAAAAACCGAACAAUUACACCAAAUUAGCAGCAAAGACAGUCUCAUGAAGGAAAAAAGGGUAUGUAAAGAAGCACCUGUAAUCAACUUGAACUCCACAUUAAUCUUUGAUGUUGAUGUUGGGUCGUCUGGUAUAAACAAAAAUGGUUCCUUGUUCUACCAAUAAAUACAAGGAAAUAACUCAAUCAGUCAAUUGUCACUGCAUCAAGUGCUGGAACAGAAUCUAUCCAACAGAAGAGACAACAAAUCAAAGUAGUAACAUUCAUAUAACCAACCCUAACAGCUCGUUUCGACCUAAUCCUAUUGUACUAUAUUUUGUUGUAUCUGAUUAUAAAGUUUGGAUAAAAUGUGUAGUUUGAUGUGGUUUAAUAACAUCUUUAUUGUCUGGUUUAACUAUUGUAUGAUUUGACUGUUUCAUAUAUAUUGUAGAGAAUUUGGAAGAGAAGUACCAAAUUCAACACGCCAGGGAUGGAGUCCUUGCAUUUAGGCUUGUACUUGGCACGUUGUAACCAUAUUACCAUCGGCCAUAAUCGAUGCUCAAAUAAUACAGUAUUUGUAUUUACACUUAAUAUACCCAAUUACUUAGGAUUUGGGUAUCAUGUAAGGAUGAUCUUGUUCUACAGUUGAAGGCUAGGGCAUAAACUCCUUUUUUAGAUUGAAAUCUUGAGAUUUUAUGGAUGCGGGAUUCCAUGAUUAUGGAAUAGGAAGGAAUGGGUUUAGAGAUUAGAGCAGUUAAUUUCACGUGCUCACUCAAUUUUACAACAAUUAAGUGCAAAGCUUUUUCUUGUAUCAUUAAAUUUUCUGAAUUAUGCAUUAAUAUUUUUACAGAAAGCCAAAUUUUCACCUCGAAAAACACACGCGUUAUCAACAUUUUACGCAUGCCAUGUCAGCAAUUUUUUUUAAAAAAAAAUCCAAUUUAUUACGACCAUAUUUAAACUAUAAACAAUUAAAAAACAUUAAAACCAAAAAAAAUAAAAAAAAAUAAAAAGCAAAUGGAAAAGUGAGAGCAACUACAGAUAAUGUAGUAAAAAAUCCCAAUUCGUUCCAACUUCCAUGUCUGAUGGUUAGCGCUCUGAUGCAAGUUAGAAAAGAAUACAGUAUAUAAAGAAGAGGAAAUGGUAGAUUAAUUAGCUCUAUAUCAGCUUGAAUAUUUUUCUCUACGUGAAAUCGCUACAAUAGAAAUUAAGAGUCCAUCAAACUGUAUAAAGAAUCAUGCUCUCUAUCAGUUCCCACGGUAAGCAACAGACUGUAAAACCAAACAGUAUAGUGAAUUAGUUUGUCUGAUUGUUCCCACAGUAAAUCAGCGAUAAACACGCGAUAUUCACAUGGGAAACUCCUUGCUCAAGGGAUUAGAAACCACGACCUAACCUAGUAGGAUUUCAACUUUACUAAAAGAGCAAACGUCAUAUUACAAUUGUAGACAAUAAAACUGCGUCUAGAAAAUAAUCGAGACCGAAAAAUAUUGCAAACAAUCGUAGGAUUUGAUUUCAAACAAUAUGAGUGUACAAUCUAUAUAAAUCCUCCGAUUCUUCCUUCCAAUAGAAAAUAAAUUCAAGGGCAUUCAAGCUUGAUCUUGAAUCUAUAUUGUUGCCACAAACAAUGAUCUUGAAUUCAACUAGCACGGACUUUGAUUUGAACUCGUACUCCUUGAACCUUGAUUUGUUCUUCGUGCUUGAGCUUGAACUUGAUUUCCUGAACUUGAACUUCAUUGCUUGAAACUUGAAAAUUAUAGAAAUUUACGGUUUGAUCCACGAGCUCUCUCUUGCUUCUUAUUAUAACUUCUUUUGUCUUUUCUGGGUUAUGAAGACCCCUAUUUAUACUUGUAGGAGUGAAGAGUUAUGAUAAGAACAAACUUUUUCCGACUAAUCAAAUUGAAGUGUGACAAGACCGCAUUUGAUUGGCCAAAACACGUCAAUUGCACACGUGACGUAGUUUUAUUGGCAUUUUAAUGUGACUUGGCAUGCUUUGUCAUUUUGACACGUGGCAUGAUCCUAUUGGUUCUUCAGUUUGACUUGGCGUGCCACAUCAUUUGACACGUGUCAUCAAACUGGGCCUCUAGGAAGAUGACAUCUUGGGCCUAAUGAAGUGGGUUCAUCACUUGUAGCCCAAUUAAAUGGGUUAGCCCAACAGAUUUAAACUUAUUUAUUUACUCUCUCUCUCUAUUGAACUAAUAUAAUUAAUCUAAUUAUAUUGGCCCGUAAUAUUUAUUUGAACAAAUAUAUUUAACAUAUAGUCCAAAUUAUUUUAUUGAAUUUAAUUUCAAUAAAAUUAAUAUGCCUACACAUGCUCUCUACUUCAAAACUCGCUUGAAGUGUAAAUUUGAUAAAUUUCAAGGCGAGGCUCUGAAGUACUGAUAAAUUAGUCUCGAAUCAAAUAUCCUCGAAACAGUUAUUUCUGAGGUUCAUUUGCAUUGCAUAAAUUAUGCCUUAUAAUAAUUUGACUUGAGAAUUUAACAUUAGCUCAUGCUGGAUCCGCAUUGAUUGGGGUACCUUUGAUACUUGAAUUUAAUGCUGCUUGAAAAUUCCAAUUCUUUCACAAUUUAAGAAAGAAUCUUUCUAAUUGUUAUGCCCAGCAGAUUGACACGUUAAGUCUUUAGUGUCUCCAUGUGGCAAUUUCAAGUACAAUUUAUAUUCUUUGUUAGAGUGCUUUCGUUGUUUAUCAUAAUUUAUGCCACCACUACCUUGUGCACAUUCCUUGUUGCAAACGAAUUAGGAGCGCCGCCUCAAUAGACUCAAAUCCUUUUCGGGGAUGGAUUACGAGUAUCCCACACCAAAAUAAAUCUUUUACUGUCGACCUCCGCUAUCUUAUAAAUACAAAACACCUUUCAUUCCAUUAGUACCAAUUUCUAUACCAAUUUCAGCAUUUGCAAAUUGUUUGAGUCUACUAUUAACGACUUGAAGGCAUUGAUACGAAGGUAGUUUUUUUUCCUUGUGCUUUUCUUGCCUUGUUAUUCUUUUUUCCUUUUUUUUAGGUCAAGCGUGAAGGAUAUAUUCUUAUUUAACAAGAUGAUCAAUGCAUGAAGAAAAUAAUCUUAGGGCGUGAGGGGACGAAUACUUAUCCUUUCCCGAAUAACGAAGAGAUUCGAUGACCCGACUAUCAGCGAGAUUACUUUCAAGGUGGCCCGACUAUCGGAGAGAUUACUCUCAAUGUGGCCCGACUAUUGGAGAGAUUACUUUCAAUGUGGCCCGACUGUCGGAGAGAUUACUCUCAAGGUGUGAAGGGAUGGAUAUUCAUCCCCGCUUGAAAACCAUAGGCCAUUUCAUCCAGUUAGACCUUUGUGCCCAUUCUAAUAUUCUUGAUUUGGACUUUGAUGACUUUUUUUCCCUUGCAGCCCGAAGAGAUGGCAAAUUUCAUCACCUUCCUCCAAACUUAGAUAUCUCGUAAUCGAGACUGAAGAUGGCAUAGAACAAACCAAGCUUUUGGUUCACACCCCACAAGCCGGCCGAUAUGCAGCCUCAUAACCUUCCUUGAAGAACUCGUUUCAUGUAGAAAACUGGACUUUGGAGCACAAGUCUACUUCUAAUCCAUUAUCCAAGAUGUGGUCUCUCCAAGCGCCAAUCCAUCGCCACUUAAACCUUGCUAACACCCUUCCAAACUUAGGGCGUCGCAUAAUUCAAGGAGAAGUACGUUGGGGAAACACAACGACAAUCGAGGGUGAGUAUCGUUAUAUUCCAGGAUAUCGAAAAUGGGCUGAGGAUAUACUUGGUGGAAGCCAACAAACCCUGAGUAAAAUAAGGAUUUAUGAUGUUGUCUAUGUCUCACUUUUCACUUAUGAUCGAAACUCGAAAAUUUUACAAGCAUUUUGUGAGGCUUGGUGACCCAAGAUGACACGUUUCUUACAUCAACUGGGGAACUAUUUAUCUCUCUUUGGGACUCAUAUAUCCUUGGAGGUUUGCCCAUUGCGGGUUUUUCGUACGAAUAAGUGGUACCUGAGACAAGAGAACUCAUCGGUUUGGACAAAAAAUAGAUGAGAUUUAUUCUUCGAUCUUGCGAGUAUUUAUUUGCUACCUUCCAUCACCUUAAGGAAGGUACGGGUAUUAACCAAAAGGUCUCCUUGAGAAAGUGGAUAAAAUAUAAACCUGCCCCACUGCAAAAGGAAAAGAAAUAUGUGCGCCUAAAGUCGACAUAUAAUCCUAACGGAGUUAUUUUUGAGACAACUAGGUGGUCGAGUGAUCAAGAAGAUAUAUUUUCCAAGCUUAGGGUGAGGUCUGACAAGAAAGAUGAAACAUAUAUAGCAGUCUUCUUAUCAAUUUGGCGAUGUCCUUUUGUGUUUCCCUAUAAGGCAGAGAACUUCAUUUGUCCCUAGACUUUUAAGAUGGCAAGCAGGCGAAAGAUUAGCCUUGCAGUCCCUUGGCGAGUAGUUAUCAUGGUUUGAAUAAGAUUUCGUUUUCUUCCCAACUUGAUGAGGUCAAAGUUUGUUUUCCCAUUCAUUAUGUUUACGACUGGCUUGCAUAUUACCUCAAAACUCAUUAUCCACUUGCUAAGGGUCCGUCUGUCCCUUUGAUGGUGGCAUGCUUAUGAGAGGGAGCCGCGAGGUACUUUGACGAGAAGGAUGCAAGAAAAUGCAUCUACAGUGGAGAGGAUAUAGUUUGGACACCAACAAUGUUAACCAAUUCUCGUCCUUAUUAUUAUGUGGAUAACGAGGCCCCUCAAGAGUUGGAUUCAAAUUACUUCAUGAGCAUACAUUUUAAUCACCUCCCUUUGAGGUAUGAUAACUCAUUCAUCAUCAAGCCAUAUAGCCCGCAUCAGUUUGGUCGUCAAUUUAGGUUUUACAAAACGUCCCCAAAUUUUUGGAGAGUGAUGUCUGUAACGCCUCUCUAGAUGAAGGACUCAGAUUUUAGAAAAUUUGUGCACUAUAUCGGUCUAUUUCAAGUGCGGCUUUUCCCCUAAAGGGAAAUCCUGUGGAGAAGCUUUUCUCCGCCAAUUAUAUGUCUUGGUGGGAGAAAGCGCAUAGUUUCUCAAGGAUAAUUUACAAGCUCUGAUAGACAAUGUUGGGCUAAAAUCUACUACUCUUUUAGGAGAUGAAGAUCAAGGUGUUGGAAAGAUACUCUCAAAAGUCAAAGAACCAUCCACUCCAAUCCCAAAAGUAGUUACAUAACAUAAGAAAAUGAAGCUUAAAUCCUCAAAGAUAGCUUUGAAAGAUGUGGUGUGCACUACAACAGAUAUAGAGAGAAACACCCUCAAACCUAUUCGAGUCCUCAAAUCACACAUAAUAGUAUCAAAAACAUGAAUCACAUCUCAAAUCAAACUUAAUUAACUUUCAAACUUUUAACUUUCAAAACUCGUGCCGAACCAUAUCAAAUCUACUCGGAAUGACAUCAAAUUUUACACUUGGGACAUGGUAAACUCCAAACUAUAUCUUUCUUCGACUUCCCAUCCGUCCUCUUCUUUGUUCCUUCAUCCUUCUUCAUCAUUGUCCCUUUCUGCAAAUCAUCACUAUUAUUUUGUGAGUUCAAAAUCCUAAUGCCAACACCCCCCUCAAGUUGGAGGGUGAUGAAUCAACCCCCAACUUGUCUAAAAUAGAAUGAUAAUUAGGGCUAGGAAGGGGUUUUAUAAAGACAUCUGUGAUUUGUGAAAUUGAUGGUAAAAAUGACAAAGAGAUGAUCCUGGGGAGACAAUAACAACCCAGACCCGAUAAUAUCGAAGUCAACUCUCUGUCAAACCUAUGAACUUUCCAAACCUUCAAAUUGACAACUUUCGCCAAAUAGUGACGAAAUCUUCUAGAAAUAUCCAAAUGAACUUUCAGGCAUACGCUCAAGUUCAAAAUCACCAUCCGGACAUACCGGAACUAUCGAAACUUUGAUCUGAGAUCAAAUACCCAAAAGGCAAACUUGGUCAAUUUUUUCAACUUCAAGCUUCUCAAAUAAGAAUCAUCCUUCUAAAUCAAUCCCGAACCACUCAAAAAUCAAAACCGACGAUAACGCAAAUCAUAAUACACAAUACGAAGCUACUCGUGACCUCAAAAUUGCCGAAGUGAAUGCAAAUGCUCAAAAUGACCAGUCGGAUCAUUACAUUGACCAAAAGAAAAAACUUUUGGCCUCUCAAAAGCUUGGCUAAACAGGCUAGCUCUAAGGGGUAGUUUGGUAGGGUGUAUAAGAAUAAUACUGAAUAGAGUUAUAAAUGAAGACUAAGUUUGCAGAAAUAUUUUGUGUAUUAUCCCAAAGGAUCUGUACAUGUAUUUAUACAUCAAAAUAUAAAGAAAUGGAAAAGAGAAAAGAAAGUUUCUAUCUGUACACUUGUCGCCUUUGUACUAGCUAAUCCCUAACAAACUAACUGAUAGGGAAAAAUAAUAAAAGAAUAUACUAGGCUAAUUUCUAUACAUAUCCAAUACGUUGCUCUCAGGUUGUAGAAGAUGCUUGACAAUUGUAUCAUAGUCUUGCUAAAUCAAUGGACAUAACUAAAUCCAUCAAGAAUGAAAUGAGCGGUGAUGAUCAUUAGAUAUUGUCUUUGACUUGGGACAUGGUAAACUCCGAACUAUCUCAUUCUUCGACUUCCCAUCAGUUCUCUUCUUCGUUCCUUAAUCCUUCUUCAUCGUUAUCCCUUUCUGCAAAUCAUCACCAUUAUUUUGUGAGUUCGAAAUCCUAAUGCCAACACUCCCCUUAAGUUGGAGGGUGAGGAAGCAACCCCCAACUUGCCUAAAAUAGAAUGAUGAUUAGGGAUGGAAAGGAGUUUUGUAAAGACGUUUGCGAUUUGUGAAAUUGAUGGUAAAAAUGACAAAGAGAUGAUCCUGAGGAGGCAUUGUUUUCGCACAAAGUGACAAUCAAGGUCGACGUGCUUUGUUAAUUCAUGAAAAAUUGAAUUUUUUGCUAUGUGAAUCGCCGCCUGGCUGUUAGAGUGAAGAGGCACCAGAAGUGGAAAAGGAACAGAGAGAUCUUCUAAAAGUCACACGAGCCAAGUGAUUUCUACCAUGACUCGACGCAUUGACAGGUACUUUGCCUCGGCCGCAGACAAGGAUACUAAAGAUUGUUUCUUGGAAUUCCAAGAAAUAGGAGAACCUUCCAAAGUGAUGAAAUAACCACUAAUCGACUUUUGUGAGUUAGGACAUCGACCCCAAUCAUAGUCACAAAAGGUGAUUAAUUUGAAAGAGGAGCUUGAAGACAUAAAAAGCCUCAAACCUGGAUCGAGCAACAAAUAACGGAGAGACAAUGUAAAGUAACAUCAGUAUAGGGUCGACGAGGAGUUUGCAUAAAUGGACUUAAGUACUGAACAUCGAAUGAAAUAUCAGAGCGCGUGUGGGUAAGGUAAUUCAGCUUUCCCAACAGAUGCCGAAAAAUAGUAGGAUCACGCAACAAAUCACCAUCACCUGCUUGAAGCUGUGAGCAAGGAUCAAUGGGAGAAGCGGCUGGUUUCAAAUCUUGACAACCAAAUUCUGAUAACAAAUCCAAGUUAAAUUUGCGUUGACUUAAAAUUAUUCCUUGAGAUUCUAAGAUUAUCUUCAUGCAUAAGAAAUAGUGAGCUUGUCACAAAUCUUUUAUUUUGAACUUACAAUCAAGGAAAGUUUUAACAGAAUCUAUAUCUACUGGGUCAUCCCUUAUUAGAAGAAUUUCGUAAACAUAAACAACAAGAAUAGAAACCGUCCUUUUGAUUUCUUAAAGAAGAGUGAAUAAUCAUUAAGUGAAUAGAAGUAUCCCUUGAAUUUCAAGUUGCGGUGAAUCUCGCGUACCACUGCCAUGAGGAUUGUCGUAGCCCAUACAAUGAUUUCUUAAGCUUACAACAUGAUUGGAUAUCGCAGGUGGCAUUCCAGAAAGGAAUUUCAUAUAAAUCUCUUCCUGCAAAUCAUCAUGCAGGAAGGCAUUAUUGACAUCCAACUGAGAAAUGCCUCAAUACUUUUUGACUGUAACAGCUAAUAGACACCUUAUGGUAGUCAUCUUUACAACUGGAGAUUAAGUUUUAGUGAAGUAUAUUCCUUUCCUCUAUAUGUCUCUCCUAAUAAGCGAUCCUUGAACCUUUCAAUUGAUCCAUCAUGUUUAUACUUCACUUUAUAAAAUCAAUUUGCAAGGCAAGACCUUUUUGUCUUUUGGUAGCAGCACAACUUCCCAAGUUUUGUUGGCUUCCAAGGUGUAACUCUUUGUCCAUUGCCUCUUGCCAUUCUGGAUGUAAUAAAGCUUGGGAAUAUGUUGUUAGUACAAAAACAUAAGAAAUAGAUUUAAAAGUGGCUGAUUUGAGUGAAAUAGCAAAAAAGGGCAGCACACUGGUACACAUAAGGCAAAUAAAAUAAUGAGCAAUAAGAUCAGUUAGGGAUGGCAAAUGGGGUAGGGCGGGGCAGGGCAAGCCUUGACCCGCCCUGCCCUGCCCCAUUUAGCAUUUUUUUUAAAAAUUGCCCUGCCCCGCCCUACCCCGUUAAGCCCUGCCCUACCCUGCCCCAUUUAAGUUUUUGUUUUUUCUAUCCUAUCCAUUUUUUUUCACACUUUGCUGUGUUUCAUCCCUUUCUAGAUAUAAGAAACUAGAAUAGAUUUGUAGUUAAAUCUUCCGUGGCAUCCUUUUUUCUUCAUUUUACUUAUAAAUAGCAUAAUAAAUUAGAAAUAAAAACUUAAUCCCUGGCAGUUGUUUUGCCCUGCCCUGCUCUAUUUUAAAAUUCCCCUGCCCUGCUCCGUUUGGAGUUUGCCCUGCCUCGCCCCGCCCUGCCCUACCCCAUUUGUCAUCCCUAAGAUUAGUUAAAAAAACUGAAUUACAAAUGUAAUCACUCAAAUAACUAGGUAAAUGAUGGCCCCUAGUUGAUCUCCUAAGAGCAGGUUCAGUUGGUUGGUGAGAUAAAUAAGGGUUAACAGAGCUAGAGGAUGAGAUGAGGAACUUGGAGCAGAAAACUGAGAUAGUGAAAAAGGGAUAGGAGAAGAAACCCUGGGAAAAGAAACAGAUGGAGCAGACCUAGGAGAAGUAGAAGAGAAAGUCCUAGGAUGCUGGGGAAGUGUUUUGUUGUAGGGAAAUAAGCUAAAUAUUUGGAGAGUGAGUAAGGUGGUAAGUGGGAGAAGAAGGUAAUAGUGAAAAAUAUUGGAGUAAGAGAAGAAUUGAAUAAAAAGGAAAGAUGUAUUCAUGAAAGAGUACAUCCCUAGAAAUUUAAAACCUUUUAGUUUGUAAUUUAUGAUAAGCUAAUUGAGAUAUGUGGAAGGGAUGGAGCUACUGGAAAGUAAGCCGAGACUGGAGCACACAUGGUAAGAAAGGGUGCUCGUAAUAAUUUGAGAAAAUCAAGUGAUAGUUCAUUGACUAUUGAUGAGGUAGAUGAACUAAUUUAAUGUUGCCUCCUUGAAAAAUAUCGAGGAACAUAGACAACAUGAGCAAUAUCAAUCAACUCAGGAAACACUUAAAUCGAAUGCAUAUUCAGAGGUACCGACUUCUAGCAAGAAUAAAAAAAUCUAAACAAGAUCAUCUUGAAGGCAUGGCUGAUAUGUUGAGAGGUGGGAUGAAUAAUUUGGCUAAUGCAAUUAAUCGCCUUUCAACUAUGCCACCUAUUCCUGAGAGUGACAUAUGACAAAUGGUACAAGUGUUGGAUUUAGAGUCUAGUAUGCACAUGAAAGCUUAUAUAUUUCUUUGCAAAUAUGCAGACUUGUGUCGCACACUGAUUGGGUGUCCAUUGAAAGACCGCAAAUUUCUUUUACUAACCUUGAUGUCGUCUCCUGGUAAUUGAGUUAGACUAAUGUUAUUUAUGCUUUAUCUAUUCAGGAUUUUAUAGACUUUGACUAGAUCGAUAUGAAUUUUACAUGUCAUGUUGCUAGAAAAUUUUAUUAUAUUAUGCACUUUAAGUUAUGGAUUAUUUGCCAUAUUAAAGGUCAGGAACUCAAGGUCCGUUGUCUAUUCUGUUUUGAUGGGGCUGUAAAAAAAAUUUUGUUUGUAUGAAACCAGUUUGGGCCUUUCGCUAUUAUGGUAGAAUGAUGAUUCCAUGUGAGGAAGAUGUGGAGGUCAAAUAAAUAAAUUAUUUUUAUGAGUAAUUCUUAAUAAGCAUCGUAUUUAAAAUAAUUGAUAGUAUUUUAGUAAACUUAGUAGUACAGUACAGUAUAAUACAGUCAAACAAAACAAUAAAGAUGUUAUUUAACAACAACAAAUGAUAUAAUUUAUCCAGAUAUUAUAUCCAUCAAAAAAUAAAAUACAGUACAAUAUAAUACAUUAUAAAACAAUGAGUAAUAAUGAUCUACACAGAGUGUAAAAGUAAUUUUUGACAAAUGUAUAAAACGGUGUACUAUUUGGAGAGUGGGGGGGGGGGGGGGGGGGUAAUAUUCUUAAUAAAUUUUUGUUCUCACCUUAUAACUAAAUUUGUCUUCAUCUCUUUGGUCUAUUUUCCGUGUACCAAGUCAAAGAGAAUGUUCCCAAUGAGAUCCUAGUAAUAUUCCCCUCCAUAUUUCUUUUGAAGUCUCCUAGCCUCUCAAGAUCUUGCUAUCAUUUGCUGUAAAGUCCCCUGUAGACGAGAGCUCAAAAAUGGUUUGCUACUUCCUAUUUUUCCUUUUGCAGCAUUAAAAUCAAAUUGGAGAGACCAACAAAGCAUCCAAAAUCUUCUUUCGAGGUGAGAAUCUCCCUUCUAUCGACUCUUUAAACUUCUCCUAACUGAAAUUCAUGACGGGAAAGAAAAUAUUAAUGGUUCUUAAAAAUUACUUUGUAGUGUUUGGUUACAUUCAAUUGUCAAAGUAUUUUCUCCAAGAAAGAAAUAUUUUCCCCCAAAAGUUUAAAAUGACUUGCUUAAUGUCAGUUGGUUCAACUACCAUUUAAACAUGAUUGUCAACCUUUGAGUUUCAAAUAUAUCAUAAAAAUGUUAUCCUCCGUCGUAUCUUAUCCUUUACCUUAUAUGAAUUACGAUUUUCAUGGGCAUCUACUUUUAUACCCAACCUAACACUAGAAAACAAUCCUAAAAAAGUGAUUUUACAAUACAGAGCAUUGUCUGCACAAACGUUCAAUAAAAAUGAUUUCCUUACACUUUAACACAUGAAUUAUGACAACUCUCACGAAAUUAAGAACCUGAUGUUGUAUUAAAAGAUUGCUUCACUGGGAGGUCUCUGCCUUGACAUUGACUGUUUACAUUUCGUCUAGGCAAAGUUACAAUGUUAGUUUGUUACAUCAUCUUCAAAGCCUUUCUCAAGUAAUGAAUCAGCAUAAUUCCUUAAAUGCAAACUCACUCAAUCAUGGACAAGGAAAUAUGACGGGAGAAAAUAAAAAAUAGCCAGAUUUACAAGUGGUCAUUCAAAAAUAGCCACAGUUUUAAAAGUAAUCGCAAUUUAGUCACUUUUCAUGUAAAGAUAAAUCUGAACGAAAACAAUGUUCAAAAUCUAGAAAAAUACUCCAGUAUAAUAUACUGGAGUUCCAGCAUAAUAUACUGGAAUUCCAGCAUAAGUAUACUAGAGUUCCAGUAUAUUAUACUGGAACUUUCCGCGUGUUGGAGUUCCAACAUAAUAUGCUACACAGGUACACCGAUCUCCAGUAUAUUAUGCUAGAACCUUCCGUGUUGCAGCAAAAUAAUGGCUAUUUUCGAUGACUUUACAAACACUGGCUAUUUUUGAAUGACCAGUCCGAAAACUGGCUAGCCCGUGCUAGUUUUACAAAUAGGACUAUCCAACCCAUAACAGAAGGCAAAAUCCUGGCAUGGACACUAGUGAAAGUUACCAUCCGUAUCCAAACCCCACUAAUCCGACUACAGCCAGGAGUUUCACCAUUAGGACUCGAAAUCAAAACCUCAGGUUAAGUCUUACGAGUGGAGGGAUCUCAUACAUUCCACCACAAUCUAUGAUGGUUUAAACAUUCGGCUCUUAACAAAGAACAAAUACAAAAUGAAUUGGGAAAUUGCUUCUUGUCUAGUGUAGUUGAGCUACUAUUUACUUUAUUUAUACAUAAUCAUCUCAUGUUUGUUUUAUAGUAUUAGGAAAAGAUGAAUUGCACACACCACAUAAGGUGUACAACACAUUCAUGCAAAUUAAUCUUUUCGGCAUGCUAUUAAUAAUCACCAAAUAUCAAGAUGACGUCCAUAAGCCCCAAUGGUAACAUAUGUUUCAGUAAAAUCAAAUUUAUGUACAAGAUUGAAUAUACACAAACCCAAUGAACAUAUGUUACAUACUUGCCGAAUCAAUCUCCAAAUAGAUAUCAGAAUCCUUUCCAAGCAGCAAGAACUUCAUUGAAGAUUUCACCAAUGAUUUCUCGGUCUGCAUACUGCAGAAAGGCAUUGAAAUCAUCUCUUAUAUCGAAUAUUUUACCAAACCUCACAAGAUACCUCAUACAACAGGCCUUCAGCUUUGGUAGUUGAUAAAGGGAAGCCGUUUGAAGCCUCUCAAGAACAUUCUUCGCGUCAAUAUCUUCCAUUAGACUUUCAUGACAUGCCUCUUUUAAGUCUGAAAGGUCAUAUUUAUCAGCGGCUCGAAGCAAAGCUAGCCUGUGGAUUAAAAAUUCUUCAUUUUGUAUGUUCCCAUAAAUAUAGUUCAGAAAACAUUGGCAAGCUUCUAUUGACAUGUCGGAGAUGUUUAUGGCAGAUAAUUCUUUCUCUUUGAGGUCAUGGGAGAACAUACUUCGGAAGACAGGUGACCUUGCAGCAAGAACAGCACGAUGCGCCCCAAUACUUCCAUCAGAAGCAUUGAUUAUGAUGUCUGUGUGAAUGCUUUCGGACAACAUACGGCCAAGUGAUGUCAGAGCAGUAGCAUUUGAUUGUUUUUCGGUUAAUCCUUCAGUCCAGAUUGAGCACAGCUCACCACUCUGCAAGUUCACAAAACACAAUGAACAUGAAUGAGGAAAACCAUGGUAAUCUUACAACUCCUUAUGUAAGAUUGUAUUAUGGCAAACAUGCUCCUUAUGUAUUAUGGCAAACAUGUUGGUAGCAAAUGAAUUGUAUUAUGGUAAACAUGCUCCUUAUGUAUAUAUGCACAUAAAGAAAAGAUGAGGAAACAGUACAUUAGGAGCUGCAGUCUUCAGAUCAAGGAAUUCAACGUCAAUAAUGAACUUCCCAGUUAAGGGGACUUCAACUGGCCAAACAAAAUCGUCGCUACUCUUGAUUUGCUUGUCUAUAACAUCUGCAGAUUCCAAACAAUAUUAAUCACCAAUUCACAAAUUUAGAUCAGAAUAUAAACAAAUGAGAUUGAUGAGUAUAAGACAAUUUUACCUGGGUGAAUCAAAGUCUUGCGAUCUCCAGCGGACGAGAUUAAUCUAAUUAUAAAAGUUGCAAUUGGAGGAUUGUCUCUUGUAAAAUUUGAUAUCUCUGGGUAUAAUUUAAUGAACAAUGUCCUGUUCUUCUCCACAGCUAAGUGCCUUCAAUCAAAUAAAAAGACUUUUAAUUAACAUAUAUACGUACACUCCUUGCUUACUUACUAAUGUCACUACCAUACAUUACUAUCAUAGUGAGUGAAACCUGAACUGUCUCCCCUUUUCAAGAAAUUUGCCAAAAAAAUAAAUACCCAUAUUAAACAAAAGAAGAAAGCAUACACUGAAAAUUUUAACAUUGCCACAAAUCUUAGGCCAGGAGGCAGGGAAAAAAAUGCUAUAAAUUUAUUAAUAUAGCCUUUACCCCACUUUGUCAUCUGUUUUUUGGGUAAUAAAACAAAGGCCUACGGUGAUUCAAUCAGCUCAUCAGAUGAGAAACAAACAAUUGAAUUGAUUGAUGAAUUUAAACAAACUGGGCUAAAAUUUCUUAGAUUCUUGCAAAAAUGUGUAACACUAUUACAGAGACGGAUAGAGCAUAGCUUGUACAGUUCAACUACACGGAGUAUAUAUGUGGGAGAGAAACUAUUACUGAAGUAAUCUUUUUUACAAAUAUUAAUUUAUGAACCCGUGAUAUACUACUCGCUUGUUCGAGCUUACGUGAAACUAUUUCCUUUUUGGUCUAUUCCAAAAAGAAUGACCCCUUUCUAAAUUUGAAAACAAUCUAGCUUAAACUUACAACUCUAGCCUUAAUGAAAAGCUUUUAUAACUAUACAAAUAGUCUGAUUUAGGACCACAAAUUCUAAAAGAUCUUUUAUUUUUUCGUAAACUCUGUGCACGUAAAUUGGAGGGGAGUAAUGAGUUUAGUGUUGAAGCCGCACUAUAACAGCUAAAAUUGAAGGCAAUUUGUUGGCUGUAAUUUGCUCUGUUUGAUCAGAAUAUAAGAAACAUAAUAAGAAUAUUAAAAAGAGUGACUGACCAAUUCCAUUUGCCGAUCUUAAAAGGAUCGGACUUCCGGUAAGUACAAGAAGCCAAAUUGUCGAUCCGCCAUUGAGCGAGGCGCGGAGUGGUAUCAACACGAUAAGCAGAAUCACUCAUCCUAGAAAAUACAAGCGCCGCCGUGAUUUCAUGGAUGCAAUCGAAUAAACCUUCCAACAAUAAUUCUCCGUGCUUUCCCAGGUUUGCUUUUCUCCCUAUUCCUCAUACAAAAAACAAAACAAUUUUCUCCUCGAAUACACUCGCCAAGUUUAUUACUACUACUACUACUACUACUUCAUCUAGCUAUCUUAAGGGUCGUAUUUUUUCAGGGGAUGGGCCCAAUUGGUUUUCUAUAGGUUUCGGACACGUAAGGGUAUUUCUUGUUAAUGCUUUACGCCAUUGAUUGUGAAGUUUUGCAGAAUGGUUUUUGUUUUAGCUUGAGAAAAAGAAAGAUUGUAUUUUUGGUGGGGACUGAGAGUUAAUUCGCUACAAAUUUGUUUGGCUUACACUACACUUCAGGGAUGAUUGAUGGUUGGUUACUCUGUUUAUAUACAGUCUGCUAGCGUACAGAGUUUAGGAUUUUGUAUGCAAAUGAUAUUAUUUGCAUUAGAAGUAUUUUGGUUUCUUUUGUGGGUAAAAUUGAUGGACUCUAGUUACACAUGUGUACGCCUUAUGAAAGUAACAGAAUGUUUAUUUUUAUGCUUCUUUCAAGCAAAGUAUCUUUGCUUUGAAAUAUUUCCAACACUUCCAUAUUUUUAAUUCUUUUAUUCUUUUCUUUGCUAAUGUUUGCUAGAUUCUCUCUCUUAAUCAUUCCUUUUCAUUUUUUAAAGAUUUUUUGGGCUUAUGUCUUUCUUCAAGAAACAGGAGAGGUGUGUUGGAUACAAAAGGUUAGCUUCAUAGUUCAUAGGGAACAGGAAGUAGCACUAUAUUUUCAUUAGAUAUGAAUAUGUUUCGAUAAACAGAAUGUUUAAACCUCCCAAUGAGAUGUUGUUAAAGUUGGGAGGUUGAGCUGCCAAAAUCCUCAAAAUUUAGGUGACUUUAUUACGUAAUAUUUAUGUACUCUCUCCGUUUCAUAUUAGAUGAGGUAGUUUGACUCGAUAUGAAUUUUUUUUUUUAAAAAAAGACUUUUAAAACUUGUGGUCUUCAAAGCUUAAGGGGUAAAAGGUUUGUGGUGCCAUGAUAUUUGUGUGGCUAUAAAAGCUUUUUUGUUAAGGGUAAAUGAGUAAAAUAAAGAGUUUAAAGUUGAAUUAUUUCCAAAUUUAGAAAUGUGUCAUUUGUUUUGGAACAGACUAAAAAGGAAAAUACUCCAUCUAAUAUGAAACGGAGAGAGUAGUAAGUAUAUUAUCUUACCUUAUGUGGAUAAUCUGUAAUUGACUAAUACUUCACUUGUUUUAAUUCAUAAAACACUCUUUUCAUUUCAAGAUGUUUUAAAAUCUCGACUUUUGCAACUUCCAAGAUUAGAUAUCAUUAAAAUAAUUAAAUUUUAAAUUUAAUGUGAUAUUUUUUCUAUUAUACUUUUUUUCUACCAGUACUUUUACUAUUUUCUUCUACUAUCAUAUAUAUAUAUAUAUAUAUAUCUUUAAUUCGUACGCAGACAAAUAGUCGUACAAAUUUGAAACGGAAACAGGUCAAAUAGUUUUGUGGUCCAUUACAAACAUGUUUUUAGUUGUAUAAUCUUACUUCUUUUUUUAAACAAGAGAUUUACUUUUACACGUAAAUGAUAUUUCUUUUAUACAUAAGAAAUUUAAAAAGAUAAUUUUCUUAAAUUCAAAAUUAUAAAGGGACGUACAAAUAUCGCGAAACGAAAAGGGUAUGUGUUUCACAUUGCAGACUAUUGUAUUUGAACAUCCAAAUAUUGGGUUUCUUUAUGCGUAGAUUGCUCCGCUUAAACCAACUAUUGCAUUUGACAGGCACUUGGUUGGAUGGGUUGUUGGGGGCUGUAAAAGCAUGAACCAUAUGUCAAAGGCUUGAUCUGAAUAAACAAGUAAACAUGGUAUAUUGUCUUUAGUAUUUGUUUAAAUUAUUACACACUGUUAACUUAUUAUAAUGAUUAAUCAGAUAUUUGGGUAGAGGAUUGCUUUUUAAAAACAUCACUUUCUCAUUAAAUAUUGAAGAAAACUUACGGACGUCUUUAGAGAGAGCAGCCUCUGUUUGUCUAACUUUUAUUGCUAAAACCGAGAAUGUAAAGAACUUAUUAAACGAAACUUGAAUAAGCCCACAAGUAUAAUGGAAUGUGUUUAUUCUUUUUUUUUUUUUUUGGUACACAGAAUUUGUUUAUUCGGUUACUUACUAAAAUUGUAAAAUAAAAAACUUUUCCUAAAAUUUAGGAGCUCAAAAUCAAAUAAGUUAUGUUUGACUCAAAAGAUAUUAAAAUCUUUUUGAACAAAUCAAUCAAAGAUGAAGGGGUAAAUCUUAGCUGAAUAUAAUAAUCUCUAGAAAGAAGAAUAAUAGAUAAAGAGAAGAUGGACGUUAAGUUUCUUUUCAUUCAAGAAUCAUAAUCUUUCCAGGGUCCUACCCCCUGUUACAAGGUUAUUGUCCCCUUUUAUACUAAGAGAGAAGCUCUUCUAAAUUGUAAAAGACAAAAUAUAAGGAAUAUUCCUAAUGUCCCCUAAUGGGCUUACACUAUUACAAGGGUCGUACAAUCUCUUCUUUGCCUUAAGGUCGUCUCCUUCGGGACGUCGACUCAAAAAGACCCUGUCGUUUGUCGUACUCCUCGUUGGUCAUGGUUGGUCAAAUUUGGACCCUUACAGUUAGUCUCUCCGCUUAUCGGGGUUGCAACCGGGUGCGUCCUCGAUGAGCGGACUUCAUGCGUUCUUAUGGAGAAAUUUGAUCCGUUGAAACGUUACGACGUGGUCAACGAGGGACGGUCAGCGUGUUCAGCAAGACAUCGAGUGAUACACUUUACCGGGAAAUGAUGUCAGCUUCACGUGCGUCAUCAUCACGUAGGUUUUCGAGGCAGGAAUUGAUGGUUUGAUGCUUCGAUUCUUGCGCUGCUUUGUGACCUGCCGCCUCGAUUUUGGCGCCACCUAACCCUAUAAAUAGGUGAAGGGUUUGUUUUUUCGAUUUUUUUUAGCCAUUUCACUCUUGAUAACUUCUUUCACUCUUCCUAAUUUGCUCUCAUAUCCUUUUGUUUCUUCUUACGUUCUUCAUUCGAAGCUUCUUCUUCCUUCUCCCUUCUUCCUUUUGUGUUGAUAUUCCUUUGAACGAUAUUAUGCCGAGGUUUCAUCGUUCUCGUGAAGAGGUUCCUGAAGCCAUACCGUUGUCCACGACGCCCCCUUCUGGCGGCGAAGAUACGGUGGUAGAAGAGGGUGACAACCUUCCUAUGGUGGAGGAGUUACUACCGAGGCAUCCCUUAUCCCGGAGUGACUUCCUCAAAGACCCCCUCCUACUCCAGACCCCGUAUUUUCUGAGAUGGAGCAAGUUCAUAUCGAUGCUCUUCGUGCAAAGUAUGGCAUUCCCGCUCAUGUAGAAAUGGUUCCGAUGGGGAGAGAUUACGUGGAUGCCCACAGACCUAGGUAUUGUGCUUUCUAUGAGUACCCUUUCAUGAUCGGCUAUACUCUUCCUCUCUUCCUCUUAGUGAAAGAGUUCUGUAGGUUCUACCAAGUUUGUCUAGAACAACUUUUGCCAUAUACGUUCAAGGUACUUCUGCUGCUGACCAAGUAUGUGAAGUUGGCGGGGUGCAAUGUUUUUGUCCACCACCUUUUGCACAUGUUCACGCCCGGCUUCCACAGGGGUACCAUGGUGCAUUUGAGGCUUUAUGGCACGAAAGGGUUGGUGGUUGGGACAGAUUACCGGGCAAGCAGCAAGUUUUGGCACAAGUACUUCUUUUUCAAAACCGAACAUGUCGUUUCUGAUUCUGCCAGGUUCCCGGAGCGAUGGAAUGAGACUCGUAAGUGUCACCACUCGUUUUACUCUUCAUUCGUCUGUAUUUAUUUUAAAGUUUGUUUGUUUCCUAUUUCGUAGCUCUAGGACAUCCGCCUCGCCCUAUUGCGGAUAUCAAGGGUUGGGUAGCCCGUUUGUUGCCUCAUGCAGCAGAGACUCGUGAUUGGCCCACCUUCGUGAAGCGUUACUGCCCUAGAGUCUCUUCUGGUAAAUAUUUUCCUUACCACUUCGUUGGCCGUAUGACCUUGUUUAUUAAUACGACCCUUCGUGAUGACAUGUCGUGGAGCUUCCAAGCGAAGGGAGUCGGUCCCUGCAUUUCGUCAAGCCAUUGCUGUCGCAGACGCACAAUUUGUUUUGAGUGAGUCUGUUCGAAAGAGCCAUCCCCAACCUAUUUAAUUAGAGGAUCCCUAUCGAGUCGUGGUCAUGAGGGAGAAGGCUUCUUUCGUACCGGCUUCACAUCCUUUGGACGAGUCCUUUAACGGGGACGAGCUGCUAUAGAGAAAAAGGAGAAGGAUAGAGCUUGAGAAGGGCGUGGCCGAAGACGCUGACAAAAGCAGGACAUCGCAGACGACACCCGUGCCCACUUUUAUGGCUGAUGCUAUCUUGUCAGGGAGAUCUCCCCGAGUGGAAGGAUCUUACCUAAGAGCUGGCUCGGUGUGAUCAGCUGAGGGCGGCGUAUCAUCCAAUGUUGGAGGUCGUCGUGUUGAGGGUGACGACUCAGGCUUAAAUGUCAACCCAGAGGAUGUCAAUGAGUUCGUAGGUCGCCAUACUCAUGUGGAGAUCAGAACGGAAGGGUCUGAUCAUCAUAUAGUCAUUCUAGGGGGCUACAACUUGCUGCUGAACUGCGAGCAAGUGGCGUCUGCUCUAGCUCCUCUAUGUGCUGCCCCUGAGAACGAGGUGCUUAGGGCGAUGAGUGACGUGGAGUUGUCUCAGAAAGUUGCCGGUAUGACUUUGCAGGUAGGUGCCUUUCCUCCCCUUUUUGUCGUUGGGUUUGUAUGGUGAUCGUCGUUCUGCAUUUUGUUUCUAACUUCUUCCUUUUUUGUCAGACCCUCGUCAUGGAGAUUGAGCGAGAGCGUAGGGAGAGUAAUAGGACUGGUCUUUAUGAGAAGAUAUCAUCCAAAUAUCAACAGUAUCGUGCUAAGCAUCGUGCGAUGGCCGAUAUUUAUCAUCACGACCCUGACUUUCAGUUGUUUCGUGAAGGGCUCAAACAACGGGAGGACUAACUGGAGCGUAAGAUCGAAGAGUUGAAGGAGCGGGAUGAGGAGCUCAUGAAGGUUAUUGCUCGCAAUAGUGAGCUCGGGGCUUCCCUUCAGGUGAAUGAUGACGAACUUGAGUUGAGUAGGGGUGAUGGCCGAAAAUACCGACUUACAGGCAAAGGUGCCCCGUUUGACCACUGAGUUGAAUGCGAAGGCAGCAGAGGUAGAAGGGCUUAAGGGCGAGUUGAGCGUCGGUAUUGAUAAGUUGGCGGCAACCGUUUCUGGAAUCACAUCUUUGGAGAAUGCCCUCCGCGUUUGCAGGUCGGAGCUGGCUGAAGAGAAGAAGGCCUCUGGCCAUAAGGUUGCAGAACUCGAGGGGCGUGUCAAAGAACUGGAGGCGGAGUUGGCUGCGUUAAAUGGACAAAUGGCCUUACUGAGGGUGGAGGAUGCAAGUCGACAUUCUCAGCCUUCUACGUCUCGCGCCUCAACCAAUCUGGUCGUGCCCCGUCAUUUAUAUAAGUUAUGGGUCUAUGCAGAGGCUCGACUUGAUGUGUAUAAGGCUUUUCAUGCCGAGAGAAGGGCUACUAAGGUGGAGCUUCAAGCAGUGCACACCGAAUCUCGUGUAGCUCAUGAGGCAUGCGGGUACGACUCCCUCACACCUGAUGGGGAUGACAUCAACUCUAAUGAUACGAACCGCCUUGCUUCGGAUUUGUGGUACGAAAAUGCUUACCCCAUCGGGGAUAAUGUGUAGUCUUUGUUUGCACUUGCUUUUUUUGGGGUUUUUGCGGGGGGGGGGGGGGGGGGGGGAGGGGAAUACUUGGGUCCGUUUGUAAAGGCAAGUAUGGAUAAUAUUUUGAUGUAAUGUAAAAUUUAUUUCGUCGAUUUAUUCUUUCUUGCAUUUAUCGAACCCAUGUUAUCNNNNNNNNNNNNNNNNNNNNNNNNNNNNNNNNNNNNNNNNNNNNNNNNNNNNNNNNNNNNNNNNNNNNNNNNNNNNNNNNNNNNNNNNNNNNNNNNNNNNNNNNNNNNNNNNNNNNNNNNNNNNNNNNNNNNNNNNNNNNNNNNNNNNNNNNNNNNNNNNNNNNNNNNNNNNNNNNNNNNNNNNNNNNNNNNNNNNNNNNNNNNNNNNNNNNNNNNNNNNNNNNNNNNNNNNNNNNNNNNNNNNNNNNNNNNNGGCCUGGGCCAUUGGGCUGUUGCUUCGAACUGUCGUCGAAGUAGGAUCCCGUCGUAGUUCGAACGAGGUCGAACUCAUAUUAUUGUCGAUGGCCUUGGCCAUUGGGAUGUUUCUUCAAACUGUCAUCAAAGUAGGAUCCCAUCGUAGUUCGAACGAGGUCGAACUCAUAUUAUUGUCGAUGGCCUUGGCCAUUGGGAUGUUGCUUCGAACUGUCGUCGAAGUAGGAUCCUGUCGUAGCUCGAACGAGGUCGAACUCAUAUUAUUGUCGAUGGCCUUGGCCAUUCGGAUGUUGCUUUGAACUGUCAUCGAAGUAGGAUCUCGUCGUAGUUCGAACGAGGUCGAACUCAUAUUAUUAUCGAUGGCCUUAGCCAUUUCUUGUUGGAGAUUUGAUCGUAUUCCCGUAGGAAGACAUGUCGACUUUGUUCAUGCAAUGGAGGUUUAAUUAUAUACUUGUAAGAAUCACAUGUUGACUCUGCACAUACAAUGGAGGUUUGAUUAAAUUCUUGUGAGAAUCACAUGUUGACUAUGCACAUACAAUGGAGAUUCGAUUAUCUAUAUCCAGUCCCUUCAUUGCUUCGCUCCAGAGAUCAUGUCGACCGCUCGAGGUAAUGAACAACACUGCGAUCUCAAGGACGUCUCCCUUACUGCCUCGUUAAAAACCUCCCCGGGAAAACCCGAUUGGGACAACACCCGGGUGAGGGAAAAAAAGUACGACUUAGGUGACACCUUCUUUUAGAAGUGGAAGUACUUGAGAUGGGCGACAUUCCAGUUGUUUUGGAGUAGUUUUCCCUCCAUUGUUUCUAACUGGAAUGCUCCUUUGUUCGCUGCAGCUAUGAUUUUGUAUGGUCCGUCCCAGUUCGUUCCCAAUUUUCCCUCAUUAGGGUCUUUCGAUGCUUGUGUUUUAGCCUUGAGGACGUAGUCUCCGACUUUGAGUGGUCGCACAUUGGCUCUCUUGUUGUAGUAUCUUUCUACUUGCUGGUCCUGGGCUACCAUUCUUAUGUGGGCCAUGUCUCUCCGUUCUUCGACUUCAUCCAGAUCUUGUAGCCUACUUUCGUCGUUGUUGGGUCCGUUCUUGUUGGAGUAUCUCAAACUGGGUUCUUCGACCUCGACGGGUAUAACUGUGUCAGUCCCGUAGACUAGUAUAUAUGGCAUUUCUCCUGUGCUGGUUUUUGGCGCAGUGCGGUAUGCCCAUAAUACUUCCAGUAGUAGUUCAGGCCAUAGCCCUUUAGCAUCUUCAAGCUUCUUUUUCAAUAUAUUCAAUAUUACUUUAUUGGAGGAUUCGGCUUGACCAUUGGCGGCAGGGUGAUAUGGCAUGGAGAUUAUUCGUUUGAUGUGCCAUUUUUCGAAAAACUCACUCGUUCUCUUUCCGAUGAACUGAGGUCCGUUGUCGCUGCUAAUUUCUUUGGGGAUGCCAAAAUGACAUAUUAUGUUUUUCUAUAUGAAUGCGAUGACCUCCUGAUCACGUAUUUGAGUGUAUGCACCUGUUUCCACCCAUUUAGAAAAGUAGUCAGUUAAAACCAAAAGGAAGCGUACCUUACCUCGUCCUACUGGGAGGGGGCUGACUGUAUCCAUUCCCCACUUUAUGAAUGGCCAUGGCAUAGUGAUGGAAUGAAGGAGUUCCCAUGUUUGAUGUAUCAUAGGGGUGUACUUUUGACAUUGUUCAUAUCUCCUGACAUUGUUCGCGACUUCUUUUUUCAUGGUGGGCUAGUAGUACUCGGCGCGGAUGAGGCAUCAGACGAGGGAACGGUUUCCCAUGUGGGUGUUGCGGUGCCCUUCGUGUACUUCUUCCAGUACUCGCCUUGUUUGAUUUGGCCCAAGACAUUUGGCUAGGGGGCCGCCAAACGUUCUUUUGUAGAGAUCACCGUUUAUGAGGCUGUAUCGAGUUGCCUGUACCCGGAGUUUUUUGGCUUCUUUUUUAUCUUGUGGGAUCGUUCCAUCCUACAAAUAUGCUACGAGGCAGUUAUGCUAGUCCCAAGUUAAGUUUAUAGAGUGUACCUCGACGUGGUCUAUUGCGGAAUGGAGGAGGGUGACCACGUUUUCUUUGUUGAUAUUUUUGGUAGCCGCAGCUAGUUUGGCGAGGCCAUCCGCUUUGAUAUUUUGCGCCCUAGGUAUUUGGUCGAGGCGGCAUUCAUCGAAUUCUGGCAGUAGUUUGUGGAUUUCCGACCGGUACUUUUAUAGUCUCUGUUCUUUGAUUUGGAAAGUCCCAGGGACUUGGUUCACCACGAGUUGAGAGUCACAAUGGAGGACGAGUCGUCGAGCGCCAUAUUUGAGGUCUAACUUCAAACCUGCAAUCACAGCUUCAUACUCGGCCUCGUUGUUAGUCAUCUCGAGGCAUCGUAUGGAUUGGCAAAUACUUCGCCUGUAAGGAUUUCGAGGACGAGUCCCAGUCUCGAUUCCGAGGCAUUAGAGGCACCGUCGGUGUGGGGGACCUAGAGGUCGGUAUGUGUGGAAGUGUGGAGUGCUUCCUGGUCUACCUCGGGCAAUAUUUUUGUGCUGAAAUCAGCGACGAAGUCGGCGAGCACCUGCGACUUAAUGGCAGUUCGCGGUUGGUACGUUAUGUCGUGCUCGCUUAGUUCUAUGGCCCACUUGGCUAGUCUACCCAAUAGUUCAGGUUUCUGUAGGAUACCUCUUAGAGGGAAGGUUGUCACCACCUUUAUGGGAUGAUACUGAAAGUACGGUCUAAGCUUCCGUGAAGCUAUGACCAAUGCCAGAGCUAGUUUUUCAAGGUGAGGGUACCUUGUUUCGGCAUCGAUUAAGGUUUUGUUGAUAUAGUAAGUUGGAGAUUGCAUACCUUUAUCUUCACGAACCAAAACUGUGCUUACCGCAACUUCGGAAACUACUAGACACACAAGUAGACAUUCACCUGGGUCUGGUUUGACGAGUAGUGGUGGCGAGGAUAGAUACAUUUUCAGUUUUCUCAGGGCGUCGAUGCAUUCUUCGUUCCAUUGCAGCCCGUCGUCUUUCCUUAGCACAUUUAAGAAUUUGUGGCAUCUAUCCGAGGAUCGUGAAAUGAACCUUGAUAGGGCGGCUAUUCACCCUGUUAAUUUCUGCACCUGCUUUUUGCUGGUCAGUAUCUCCGGUAUUGUAUCGAUGACCCUGAUUUGAUCCGGGUUGACCUCGAUUCCCCUUUGUGACACUAGGAAACCAAGGAAUUUUCCUGAAGUUAUGCUGAAGGCGCACUUUUCAGGAUUCAGCUUCAUCCUGUACUGCCUUAAUAUCUCGAAGGCUUCCUUCAGAUGACCAAUGUGAUCCUCUUUCUUUGUCGACUUCACUAGCAUGUCGUCGAUGUAAACCUCUAUGGUCUUAUCGAGUUGUUCUUUGAACAUUUUGGUGACUAACCUUUGAUACAUGGCCCCUACAUUCUUGAGCCCGAACGAUAUCACCUUAUAGCAGAACGUUCCUUGAUGAGUGAUGAAAGUGGUCUUUUCUUGAUAUUCUUCAGCCAUUAGAAUUUGGUUAUAACCGGAAUAGGCAUCCAAGAAGCUCAGCAGUUUGUGCCCCGCUGUUGCAUCGAUAAGUUGGUCGAUGUGAGGUAAUGGAAAAGAGUCCUUCGGACAUGCUUUGUUUAGAUCAGUGAAUUCAACACAUAUUUCCCAUUUCCCAUUCUUCUUUUUUACCAUGACCACAUUGGCGACCCAUUGGGGGUAUUUCGAUUCUCUGAUGGACCCGUUGGCGAGUAAUUUAUCAACCUGAUCGCUGACUACCUCAUUGAUUGCGACAUUGAACUUUCUCCUCAUUUUCCAUACCGAUAGAUAAAGUGGAUCGACAUUCAGCCUGUGUGUGGCGAUAUCCCUCUGAGUGGGAAAAAGCAAAUAGAUCGACGUUGUUAGUUAAAAACUCACGAUACUUACCUGGCUCCGAGAGGUUGUGUCCAACAUAAGCCUUUUUGGUGCUAUUGGUGUUAUCCAAUUGGACGGGGUCGAGAUUUUCUAUGGUUGCCUUGCAAGCUUCUACGAUGUCCGGGUCUUUGAUGGCCUCUACUUGUACAUCGGGUUUGGUUCCCGACCUGGUUGAUUGCUAUGCUUCCGCACUUGCCCCUUUUAGUUGUUUUGUAUGUGCGUAAUCUUGGGCGAUCUGGUAGCAUUCUUGGGCGGUACGUGGCUUGCCUCGGAUGCUGAAUAUCCCCCAUGGGGUGGGAGAUUUUAUUACUUGAUAGAAGCUUGAAGGGAAGGCUCACAUGGCGUGUAUCCAUAGUCGUCCUAUUAUGGCAUUGUAGGCCGUUUCCUGGUUCAUGACGUGGACUGUCGUUUCCAGGGUAACCCCUCCUUCUAGGACAGGUAGCACUAUUUCUCCAGAUGUCCGCUCUACUGCAUUAUUAAAACCCGUUAGUGUUAUGAAAUGCGGUAUUAUUUUAUCCUCAAGCCUCAUUUGUAUGAGAACUCGUGGGUGAACAAUACACGCGCCCCUUCCGUCAUCCACCAUUACUCUUUUUACAUUGAUAUCUGUGAUGCGUAAAGUUAUAACUAAAGCAUCAUAGUGAGGGAAAGACAAAUCGUCGGUAUUUGACUUAUCGAAGAUGAUACUAUCUUCGAGGUUGUCAUACCGUUCGUGGGCGACUGUCCGUUUGAGUUUAUGUGUGGUAAGGUAAUGUAUGUUUAAUUUGUCGUAAGGUAAUUGACAUCAGUCCAAGGAAAAGAUUAUUUGGAGAUUAUAAGGAUUAUAAGUAAUGAGUAAAUUUGUGAAGGUGAGAGGGUAAGUAAUAUCAAAGAAAAUGAUUUUUUUCGAAGUUUGGCAUGUUGGGAUAAAAUAUGGCUCGAGCUAAAAUACUCGGUAUUUAUGGACUAGUACCAUACAAGAUACCACAUGACCAUAAUAGUAAGGUGUAUAAAGUAUGUAAAAAGUGAGUAAUAUUUUAAGUAAGUGGGAAUAAUUCUCAAUUUUUCGGGUAAUUGAUUAAUUACCGGGUAACAGGACAUUACCUAGUUAAUUAAUAAGUGGUGAUGGAUUAUUUGAAGUCUUGGAUAAGAUAAGCUUGCCAAAAACAUGGCAACCCCUCUCUUUCAUUUAGUGACUAAGCCUUUAGAUCAUUGUGUUAAUAAGACACUUGUGAGCAAAGUUAAGCUUAAGAGACUGUAUGUUCCAGUUACGCUAAGUGUCACCCUCGCGAGUAAGGGAAUGUGUCAUCCUUGGUACAGGAGGAUUGCUACGAGGUGAGUAAGGAUCAUUGAUGUUGAGAAACAACGCCAAAGUUGAAGAGGUAAAACAUCUAUAGGUAGAUCCUUGUGGCUUCAACUUUUAGUACACCCCUAAAGGGGGGGAAUGGAGUGAUGUGACAUUAAGUCAGAAUUAAGUGGUUUUAGUGACUAUGGAAUGGUAAAGGAAGUAAAGGUUCCUGCCCGAGCUGUUAAGGAUCCAGUGCGAGACGUAAGUUAAGAAAAGGGAAAUAACCCAAGAAAAGAUGAAUCGUAUAAGUGCACCUAUAAAGCCAGGGUGAUGCAGGCUGCAUGACAGGAGGUAACAAAAGUUGCAAGAUUAGGAAGAUUUCGACCACAGGGCAUGAUAUGAGCAAAACGACUAAAGGGGGGAAUACCCUAGACUUUGGAUUUAUUCACAGAGCAACUGCUUAAAUGACAAGAAGAGUAUUAAGGUAUUCACAAGAGUUAUAAGUUACGAAAAUGAUAAGAGCACCAGUCGACAUUCGAGGACGAAUGUUCCAAGGGGGGGGGGGGGGAAUGAUGUUACGCCCCACAAUAUUACGUCGAUAUUUCGUUCGGCAGUAUUAUAUUACGACAUUGUUACGCUUCGCAGUAAUAAGUUACGAUAAUGUUGCACCCUGCAGUAAUGUACGUUGUAUUUGUCGUAAGGUAAUUGACAUCAGUCCANNNNNNNNNNNNNNNNNNNNNNNNNNNNNNNNNNNNNNNNNNNNNNNNNNNNNNNNNNNNNNNNNNNNNNNNNNNNNNNNNNNNNNNNNNNNNNNNNNNNNNNNNNNNNNNNNNNNNNNNNNNNNNNNNNNNNNNNNNNNNNNNNNNNNNNNNNNNNNNNNNNNNNNNNNNNNNNNNNNNNNNNNNNNNNNNNNNNNNNNNNNNNNNNNNNNNNNNNNNNNNNNNNNNNNNNNNNNNNNNNNNNNNNNNNNNNNNNNNNNNNNNNNNNNNNNNNNNNNNNNNNNNNNNNNNNNNNNNNNNNNNNNNNNNAUGGACUAGUACCAUACAAGAUACCACAUGACCAUAAUAGUAAGGUGUAUAAAGUAUGUGAAAAGUGAGUAAUAUUUUAAGUAUGUGGGAAUAAUUCUCAAUUUUUCGGGUAAUUGAUUAAUUACCGGGUAACGGGAUAUUACCUAAUUAAUUAAUAAGUGGUGAUUGAUUAUUUGAAGUCUUGGAUAAGAUAAGCUUGCCAAAAACGUGGCAACCCCUUUCUUUCAUUUAGUGACUAAGCCUUUAGAUCAUUGUGUUAAUAAGACACUUGGACAAUAUCCUGCAAAUACGUAUUUAUCUUUUGGAGCAUAUGUCUUGUCGAUAACUUGCUGUCUUAGGACAUGUUUUUGGAUGGCUAUAUUUAGCCCCAUACAACACUAAUUGAGCCUUCAAGGUUCAAAAUAGAUUUGGAAAUUGAUUUUCUUGGACUCUUAGCAUAUAUGGAUUACUUAAGUGUCUGAAGAAAUUACUUGAUGCAAAUAAUAACAUACAACCAGAAAGAGAUAUAUGGUGUGAUUUUUGGCGGACAAGAAUUCAACCGGCUUAAGUUAUCUAGUGUUAGCAAAGGAAGUUUGGACAAGAACAUCUGGAAUUUCAUAAAAGGCUUCAUAUUAAAAUAGCAACGUGAGUUCUUGGUUAGUAAAGGAACUCUUACGAAAUUAUAUUGUGUAAUCCUAGCAGGAUUUUGUGAUUUUAAGAGAGCACGGUACAAUCUUUCCCAAGAAUAUCAUACGAAUUUUUUCCUACUCCAGGUAUGUUAAGGCUAAGCUCUUCUUUCAUUUGGCAUGAUCUCGUCAUUACAUUCAUAUCCCGAAAUUUACGUAUAUUUUGCUAGUCUCACAAAUUGCGUAUAUUUUUCUAGUGUUGUAAGUUAUAAUAUUCUCCUUAUCGGGAUUUCAUAUUCAGUUGAGUAUUUCCUUCUUAUAGUCAAGAGAGCAGAGAAGUUUAUAUAUAUAGUAUUAAAAGUAUUUUCAUUACUAUCGAGCUAUAAUCGAUGGGCAGGCCCCUAUUGGGCAACCUCUGAUUAGAUGACAAGUUAUAUACCGAGUCUACUGUAGCCGAGCGCUUAUGAGCGAGCCUAGUUGGUCGAGAUAUAGAGCCUAGUAUGGCCGAACGCGUAUGAGCGAGCCUACUACGACAGAGAAGUUAUAUAUAUAUAUAUAUACCGAGCCUACUGUGGCCGUGCACGUAUAAGCGAGCCCAAUUGGUCGAGAUACAGAGCCUAGUAUGGCCGAGCGCUUAUGAGCGAGCCUACUACGGCAGAGCAGAUAUAUAUAUAUAUAUAUGUAUACCGAGCCUUAUAGGGCCGGAAAACUAUUUUACUUACUAUAUUGAGAGAAUUGAGUCAGUAUCAGCAGGUAAGCAUAUCUUUAGAUUAUCUUUGAUUUCCAGCUACUUGCAGUUAUUAUAUUAUCAGUUCAGUUUCAGCUUUCAGUAUAUUGCCUUACAUACUCAGUACAUUAUUUCUUACUGACGUCCCUUUUGUGGGGGCACUGCAUUUCAUGUGUGCAGUUCAGACAGACAGACAAGUAGGCCUCUUCAAUAAGUGUUGCCCGAGCUCAGCUUGAUCGGUAAGCUCCAUGCCUUUCGGAGUUUCCGGGUCUAGAGCCUUAUGUAUAUCUUGUAUAUAUAUGUAUAUAUGUCAUGAGUAGGUCGGAUAACUGUUCCGAUCAUAGUAUAUCCAUUAGUAGAGGCUUGUAGACAUAUCUUGUCAGUUAGUGUAGUAUGUUGGGCUUUCAGGCCUUGUAUGUAUAUUUGGUUGGUUUGUUAGUUGUAAUAAAUAUGACGGCCUUGUUGGCCAAGCUUUAUAUUCAUAUUUAGUCAGCAUUCGUUGUCGUCUUGCAAUGUGGCCCAUGGCCAAAAGUAUGACAUCAUAUGUUCAGAAUCCCUUAGUUGCAAGUUGGUACGCAAGGAUAGGUAAGGCACUGGGUGCCGGUCUCGCUCCCCCAAGUUUGGGGCAUGACAAAAGUGGUAUUAGAGCAGUUCUGUCCUAGGGAUUUUACAAGCCGUGUCUAGUAGAGUCUUGUUUAUAGGUGUGUCGUGCACCACACUUAUAAGCAGGAGGCUACAGGGUAUUUAGGAUUGUCCCUCUUUCUUCCUACUCUAGAUCGUGUGGUAAAGCUCAGUUGUAGGAACUCAAUUUCCUAAACUCUAUCUUACUUAUAGUACGACGAUACCUACAUCCAAAAAGACGGUUGGUAAGAGAGAUAGUUGUGGUAGAGCUGAGUCAGAGGAAUUGGAUUUUUGUAAGAUGCCUACGACAAGUAAAUAUGAGGUCUUUAGCAGAUCAUGGGUGUACUGAAAUGGGUAAGCUUACUGAUAAGAAGCCUUAAGGCAAGAAUGCCUAUCCAUCUUUAUGGUGAAGGACAAUGAGAGAUUAAGAAGAUAAGUACAAGUUUCGUCAAGUAAAAGGAGCAAGGUGAAAAAAGGUACGAGGUACCUAGUUAAUGAAGGUUAACAACAUUUAUAAUUGAGGCAGAGGAACAUAAGCUUCUUGAGUUAUAUUUAAUAGUAAUAGAGGUAUAUAUAAUUGGUCACACCCUUUCCAGAUAUGUCCUAUAGUGGUUAACAAAAGUAGUAUAAGAAGAGAUGAUGGAUGAAUGAAUUACGUCAGUUGACAUUUACGUAGGAUAUUGCAAAUGUAUUAAUAGAUCUCUUUAUGAGACACCUAGAUGGUGCACUCUAAAGUAGUGCAACCAGAUAAGAGUACCACAAAGACUUUCACUAUAAGCCUUGACGGGAUAAAUAUUACCUUAGUGUGGCUCGCGUCCCUAGUAAAGCGAAAACGUUAAGCAACUUGAAGAGCCACUGGAUGGAGCCAAGGAAAUCUAAAAGCGAAAAAAUGUCGUAUUGAAGUUUUCACAAGAAAAGGGAUAUGAAGAAAUAUUAGCAGAGAGAUAAGGAAGCAUUAUGAAUAAGGUGUGAUACAUUGAUGAAAACGGUAGAGUGUUACAUAACCUAUUGUCAAAUGAAGGAAGAGACGAAAGGUGAUGAGCCUUAAGACAAUAAAAGAAUAUAGGCCAUAAGGUCAUAUCCCCAUUUUGAGAAAUAAGUUCGCAACUCUAGCGCGAUUACCAAGAGGAAAAUUUAGACCCAGAGUAAUAGAAAUUAAUAUGGACUGGUGAACAAGAUAAACUAAAUAUGAAUUAGGAAUUGAGUGAUUUGAUAAUAGUCAACAUCUUGAGAAUUUCAGAUCAUGUUCCGGCAAUAAUAGGACGGACCACAGAAGGAGAUUCAUGAUGAAUUCAGAGAAUGGUCAUUUAGGGAGACGUUUCCCUAGAGUAAGCAAUGUGAGCAAAGUUAAGCUUAAGAGACUGUAUGUUCCAGUUAUGCUAAGUGUCACCCUCGCGAGUAAGGGAAUGUGUCAUCCUUGGUACAGGAGGAUUGUCGCGAGGCGAGUAAGGAUCAUUGAUGUUGAGAAACAACGCCAAAGAUGAAGAGGUAAAACAUCUAUAGGUAGAUCCUUGUGGCUUCAACUUUUAGUACACCCCUAAAGGGAGGAAUAUGGAGUGAUGUGGCAUUAAGUCAGAAUUAAGUGGUUUUAGUAACUAUGGAAUGAUAAAGGAAGUAAAGGUUUCCGCCCGAGCUGUUAUUAAUAAAUAAGGAUCCAGUGCGAGACGUAAGUUAAUUAAAAGGAAAUAACCCAAGAAAAGAUGAAUUGUAUAAGUGCACCUAUAAAGCUAGGGUGAUGCAGGCUGCAUGACAGGAGGUAACAGAAGUUGCAAGAUUAGGAACAUUUCGACCACAGGUCAUGAUAUGAGCAAAAAGACUAAAGGGGAGAAUACCCUAGACUUUGGAUUUAUUCACAGAGCAACUGCUUAAAUGACAAGAAGAGUAUUAAGGUAUUCACAAGAGUUAUAAGUUACGAAAAUGAUAAGAGCACCAGUCAACAUUCGAGGACGAAUGUUCCAAAGAGGAGGAAUGAUGUUACGCCCCACAAUAUUACGUCGAUAUUUCAUUCGGCAGUAUUAUAUUAUGACACUGUUACGCUUCGCAGUAAUAAGUUACGAUAAUAUUGCACCCUGCAAUAAUGUACGUUGAAUUUGUCGUAAGGUAAUUGACAUCAGUCCAAGGAAAAGAUUACUUGGAGAUUAUAAGGAUUAUAAGUAAUGAAUAAAUUUGUGAAGGUAAGAGGGUAAGUAAUAUCGUAUAAGUGCGCCAAAUUGUUUGACUCAAAAGAUAUUAUAACCUUUUUGAAUAAAUCAAUCAAAGAUGUAAGGGUAAAUCUUAGCUGAAUAUAAUAAUCUCUAGAAAGAAGAAUAAUAGAUAAAGAGAAGAUGGACGUUAAGUUUCUUUUCACUCAAGAAUCAUAAUCUUUCCAGAGUCCUGCCCCCCAUUACAAGGUUAUUGUCCCCCUUUUAUACUAAGAGAGAAACUCUUCUAAAUUGUAAAAGACAAAAUAUAAGGAAUAUUCGACGGAAUAUUCCUAAUGUCCCCUAAUGGGCUUACACUAAUACAAGGGUCGUACAGUCUCUUCUUUGCCUUAAGGUCUUCUCCCUCGGGACGUCGACUCAAAGAGACCCUGUCGUUUGUCGUACUCAUCGUUGGUCGUGGUCGGUCAAAUUUGGACCCUUACAAGUUAUUUUCAGUUUAAUUAUGUGUUGAACAUAGAGCCGUCAAAAUGGGCUUAGCCCGUGAGGCCAGUCCAACCCAGCCCGCUACUUGGGUAGGGUUGGGCUAGAAUUUUUUGAGCCCAUUUAAAGCUGAGGCUUAUAAGCCCGGUCCAAGCCAGUCCGCUGGCCCUUGAGGCUUGACCGAGGCUGGGCCUAGGCCGGCCCGUGGGCUUAAAAGUAAUAAAUUAAUUAACUAUUAAAUAUUUAAUAUUUAAAAAAGUUAAAACUAAAAACAACUAUUAACUAUAAUCCUCAUUCCCCAACUCUAGAUUGCUCAUUUAUCCUUCCAUAUCAACUAGAUUUUGGAUUUUUGACAUGCAUGUAAUAUGACAAAAUUAGUUUUUCUUUUGCUUAAUUAAUAACGAACUCGAAAAGUUUUAGUUGGCCAAUAAUAAUAAUUUUUCAAAAGAAAAUAUUACUUUAAGUGGCCAAUAAUCAGUUUGGAUUACUUUAAUAUACUAUUAAUAUUUAAACUACUCUUUAAUAUAGAAAAAGAUCAAUUUUGAAUACACCAAAAAAAAAAA
rnacentral:lncRNA from 1 species